UUGCAUACACAAAGUGUGUGGUGAGUUCCCUGUAGAUAUAAGAUGCUAUAAAUGUUCUAUUUCCUAUGUGACGUCUCAGUGAUCUGCACCUGACACUGCUCCUACUGUCAGUAUGGGGAGAUACUUACUGCUUGUCCUCUACGCUCUCUUCUCUCUCUCUGUUCCAGGUUCCUAUGGGCAGAUUGUACUGACUCAGUCUCCAGAUUAUGUCUCUGUGUCACCAGCAGAAACUGUCACCAUCACAUGUAAAGCCAGUAGCAGUGUUUAUAAUAACAUAGCCUGGUACCAACAGAAAUCAGGGCAGGCACCAAAGCUGCUGAUCUAUGAUGCAAACACCCGACACACAGGGACCCCAGAGCGGAUCAGCGGCAGUGGGUCUGGAUCAGGUUACACAGAUUAUUCUCUUACAAUCAGCAGAAUGGAAGCAGAAGAUGCAGCAGAUUAUUACUGUCAGCAGUAUAGGAGUGACCCUCUCACACAGUGAUACAGAGCUGAACAAAAACCUCCCUGUUACUGUGCCAGUGAGUUAUUUACAUGAUACUCUAUAAAGCUACAGAGCAUGACAUGAUAUUCCCAGGAGGGGAAGACUAUACAAUUGUAUGCAAGUGGCAGGUGCAGGUUAUAGAACAUUGGGGUGUCAGAAAAAAAUCCUUGCUAAUAUAAUUACAAGGUUCUGACCAGAUGCCAGUGAUGUCCAGGAUGCCCUGCCAGUUAUUUUAUUCAUUUUCACAUCUGUACAGCUGCCCAUAACACAAGACACUAAAAAAAAAGAUAUAGUUAAUCACUGGGUAUAAUCUAGGAAAAUGUGGCAAAAAAACAUAAUGGAUGUGAGGAAAUCAUGAAAAGGCAUUUCAUAAUAUUCAACAUUUAAACAAUAGUGAACCCAACAUUUUAUCUUUAUGUAUUAAACUGGUCUCCAUGUGAUCUGCCACAUCUGCCUCAGAACUUCCAGUUAAAGAUCAAUAUGUGUCUGUGGAACUAAGGAAAGUCAUGUGGGGUGGGAGAUUGACUUCCCAUAGCAUCAGAUUCACUAAUCAAAAUUUAAGCGACUAGAGAGUUGGACAGGAAACAUUGUCAGUCAAAUAAAAGUAGAAAAAGAUAGAAUUCAGAUAAUGGGUUAAUACACUGAUAUAAGUGGGUCACUAAAAUUUUCCGAUUAAAAAAUCUUGAAGACUUAUUGAAAUUCUCCUCGGACCCAAUGACUUGUAAGGGAAGCAGGGACUUGACGGGGCCUAGGAGUAGCGCCAAGCCCCGCCCACUUUUUUCAUUGCAGGGUUCUGAUUGGAUAGAAAGGUUCCUGGGCUUGUGGAAGGAUCAAGGCAGUGAUUGUACUCACCAUUCGGCGCCGGGACGUGAAGGCAGCAAGAUGCAGCAUCCCGCCCGCCCUCCCUGUAUACGGGUUGGUUUUGUCGCAGUUGUUGGAGGGUACUUUACUAGCGGAAGUUAAAAGGGGGUAUUUCAUAGGGAGUGGAAGUAGCCUGGUAGGCCUGGGUCCCCAUGGGAAGGUUGACAGCCCAGUUUGGGGCUUGGGAGAAAUGGAACAGGAACCUAACUUGGCAGUUUGGGUACAGCCAUCCCCACCCCCAUUCUUCUUUCCCCCGUUAUACAAACGGUGUGUAAAAUGUUAAAAUGUUAUAAUGGUUAAUUAUUAUUAUUCUGUUUAAUAAACAACUGCGGCCAUCUCUUUCCAAAACCAGUGACGUGCCUGUGUGUUAU